rnacentral:lncRNA from 1 species
GAGCGGCAUCACCCACCACUACUCGCUAGACAUCCCUCCAUGCCGGAAUGGCAUGUGAUUCCGUUAUAGAACCAUAGCGGGCCAAGGGAGGGCACUGCCAUGACAACACUGCUGCUUCUAACAUAUUCACCCCUUAUACCACUGCCUUGCGCCGCCCGGAUCCCAUCGUUGCCGCUUUUCCAAUCCUGGAGAUGAACACGCAGAAAUAAGGUGUGGCGCAUGUCCGUUUUUUCUUUUGCUUCCUCUCAGAUUUGAUCAACGGAACACCAUGGGGGCUAGGCGGAUUUGGGAUGGCUUGUCACCACAAGGCUCUGUUGCAGACUCUCCUUGCAAAGAAAUAAACAAAGCUCCAGACUCGAGGCCGCUACAACAGAGGAAGCGAAAAGCUUUGAUGCUUGAUGCACACCAGACGAUCACAAGUCUCUUUCACAGCCUUUCUGAGGUCGUUGCUAAACCGUGAGGAUUAGAGUAUUCUCUUUCAAGGUAUUUUCAUUACUGAUACUCACAUAUCCGUCCUUGUUUCGUCAUUUCAACAUCCUUGUGCAUUGGCGCUAGCCUCACUUUGAAUUUUUCUUAAUUUUAAUUUGUUGUCUGCAGUAAGUGAUCUUCAUAUUCUUCAUCAGAAGUAUGAGCCCAUCAUGCAAAACAAGGGAACGAAUAAAGCAGCAGUAGUUAUUGUAAUAACUACUAAUAUUGGCAACUUUGUACAUAAUGUGUUAUGAUGUACGCUCCUUGAGUUUAUUGGUAUUCUUUCGCAAGUAUUGAGGAAAUUUAACGUUUGUACAAAGAAAUUAAAUAUUUGAUUGCAAAGGUGAGG